GUUAAUGAGACUUGAAAACAUCGUUCAUCAUGAAAAAAUUAUAGUAUAAAUUUGGAUUUUUCUAUCUUCUAUUCUUAUAUAAUGAAUAAUUUUUUUUUUUUUUUUUUUUUAACUAGAAAAAGUAUGUACUAAAAAGGGUGAUUAUUUUUUUUGAUUUUUUUUUUUAUUUAGGGUAAUUAAUUUUUAUUUUAGCUCAUUUGUUAUUUUAUAUAAGUCUAUUAUAUCUUUUUAUACUACCAUAGGAUAGCUUUUUAUAUAUUAAUCUAUAUUUUUUUUCUCUUGUUUUUUUUUUUUUUUUUUUUUUUAUUUUCUAAUCCGUUUUUUUCUUUUUUUUAGCAUUUAAUUUUUUUUUCUUAUUUUUAGUAUUAAAUUUUUUUUAUUUAUUUUAGCUUUCCUUUUUUUUUAUUUAUUAGUUAACUAAAAAAAAUAAAAACAAUGGAAGUUUUAUUUUAUAUUUAAUGGGAAAAACUAAUUUGACUUUAUAUUGCAAUGUUUUUAUUAUGUAAUUAAAAUUAAGUAUAGCUUUAUUUAUAUUAAUAAAUAGAUAGUUGAUUACAUUAAGAACUAUAGUUAACGUUGUAAUAUGUAAUUUUUUUUUUAGGAAAGUAAAUUUUUUUUUUAGUUUUGCUUAAAUUUAUUUUUAUAUUAAUUCAAUCAUUUUGAUUACUUUAAUGUUACCUCUUUAUUUUGCUCCGUUUUUCUGUUAUUUCUAGCAUUGUAGUAUAAUCACUUAACAUUAUACAAGCUGCUUGAAUUAUAAUAUGUUAUAUGCAUUUUUUUUAAUUAACCUGACGUAAAAAUGAUGAGCACAAAUAUUGAAAAUGUUUUUAAAAUAAAUAAUACCAAAUAUAUUAAAAAUAAAUAUAAAAAAAAAGCAAAUAUAUGUAGUAAAGGAUAUUUAUUUAAAAAUCACAUAUAUACAAAUUUAAACAAAAAUUUUAAUUUAAAAAAAAUAAAUUUAUUUCGAUUUUUUAUAAAAAAUAGUAUUUUCAUUUAUUUAUUUUUAUUCAUAUUUCAGUUUAAUUUGUUUAAUAACAAUUUUUACAAAACAGAACAAAAAUCUUUUGACAUACAAAAAAUGGAUAAAUAUUUUUCAAAAAAUAAUAGAACGCUAAUGGAAAACCUUACAGAGUUAACUAAAACAUACGAAAACAUGGAAAAAUGCUUGUGCAUAAAGUUGAAAAUAUAUAUGAGACAAACAGUAAAAAUGCUCUCACCCAAAUAACAAGAUUUGUGCAAAAAAUUGAUUUACUUCUUGAAAAGGAAAUAUUAAGAACGCUUAAAUAUGUAGAUACUGAAAUUCAUCAACCAAUUAAAAGUGGUAAACAGUUUUUAGAUAGCGUAAAAAAAUUUUUGAAUGGAUUAAAAAUAUUUUCUACACCUUUAUGUGCAACAGUUACUACACUAAUGAUAUAUUACUUUAAAUCACAUGUACUUAGUACAGUGGCAAUGAUCGGAAUAGCCUUAAUGCCUUUAUUAACUACAUGGUAUGUAUUUUAUAAGAUACACAAAGUACGUAGUGAGUUGAAUAAAAAAAAACGUGGAAAACCA
ensembl:lncRNA